UUUGCAGUUUUUUUGUUUGUUUUACGUUUGGUGCUUUUGUUGCGGGUCCUAUGUCAAGUUGCUUGCUUCUUGGGGGAUAAGGCUUAGGAGGAGCUGGGUGUGAGGAAGGUCCGUGAGUUACGUCGGGAGAAUGCCCCCGGCCAGUGGCAUCUCAACCGUUCUGUUAACUCUCACUUCGCGGUUAGUCUGGAAGUGUGGGAUGGGAGUGGUGACGUCACUAAUACUGCUGUGGAGGACCACACUUCUCUCCAAUGUGUUUUGGAAUCUAUCACGCUGUUUCCUUCAUCGGGGAAGGAAGUGAGAGUUAACGGAACGGUUGAGCUGCCAACGGCCGGGGCGUUCUCCCGUCAUAACUCACGGACCUUCCUCACACCCAGCUACAUAUUUUGCCUGUAGAUAUCGGUACAGUUUGAAAAAGAGGGCAAUAAUUGAACUCACCAAAACACCGCUUACAGUACACAUCGUCAUCGCAUUCACCAUUACCACAAUCAGGACACAGCUAAGGUGCUAAGGACUCUCGCUCAACUCUACAACUUGACUAGCGGAUCGGGCGGACCAGGACCCCCUGCCGAUCGAGGAUCGCUAAAGUCCAAAAAAGAAUAAAAAGAUUUACUGAAUGUACCCGAAUACCGAAUGUAUACGAAAAAUCAAACCAAACACCCGAAUGCCGAAUGUAUCCGAAAAAUCAAAACCUAAAAUAUUAUUAGAUAAACUUUUUUCCUUGCAUGUUGGAGUGAGAUAAGAUGGAAGGUCAUAACUUGAAAAUCAUGAAGAAAUUUCAUGGGACUGGGAACUAUUUCCUUAUGAUAAACUUCAUUAACCUUCUUUAACUUGCAGCCUAUAUGAAAUGAGUUAGAAAUAGCUGGGCUCAUCCUGCUAUUCCAUCUUCUCCUGUCAUUCAGUCAUUGAGGUACACAAGUUCUGGAAGUCACUGUUAGGACCCUAGAAAGGCAAGUGCUUUAGAUGAAUUCAGUUCAGCCAACUAGUAACGAGCUAAUGUCAUUUCAAGUAAAUA